rnacentral:misc_RNA from 1 species
AGGAGAUUGCCUGCAAGGUCUGAUUGCAUGUUAUAAUUCAGUUCCCACUACUGUUGAUGUUGAAGCAAGGCAGAAGCUAUCAAUUUAGUCGCUAGGAGUGUGUCAUUUUUGCCUGCUGACAUUCAUAAAUUCCACAAUAUUGUAGCUUAUUGCUUGAAUGGGAUGGGGGGUUGUCAAGAUUUAAAUCCUUAACAUCCUGCAUUAUAAAUACUAUAAAUUUGAGUAUUCAAUCACUGAAUUAAUAAUUUAAUGCAGA